rnacentral:piRNA from 1 species
UGCAUAAACACAAACACACUCCUAUUG